CUCCUCCAAAGGUAACCACCAAGCUGAUGCUGGCUGGAGUUGUUUCAUAUGUUUAGAUAGUUUGUUAUCUCAUGCAUGCUGUCAUCUGCUGCCCUCCCUCAGGUGUUGGCGGGCUGAGAAGAGUCUGACAGAGGAACGUAGUCGGCCAUCUUGGAAAGAGGAAAAUGUCUUCUUCACACACGGAACAAGAAGACAAAGACAGCCCAACGCCUCAGUGCUCUCAGUUGGCUGAAGAUGCUCACUUAACAAGUGCAGACUUACAUGAGCGCUACAGUUGUGAUCAGUGUGACAAGAAGUUUCAUACCCAGGGUCACCUCAGAAGACACCAGCGCAUCCACACUGGGGAAAAACCCUUCAGUUGUGACCAGUGUGGGAAGAGUUUUAGUCAGAACCCCACUUAAAAAGACAUCGCCUCAGCCACAGCGGCGUCAAACCACACAGAUGCCGCCAGUGUGGAAGGACAUUUAGUUUGAUGGACAACUUGAGAACUCAUCAGCUCCUACACAGAGGAGUCAAACCAUAUGCAUGUAGCCAGUGUGGGAAGGCUUUUACUCAGAUGACCCACUUACAAACCCAUAAGAUGGUCCACAGCGGAGAUAAACCACACAUGUGUGAGGAGUGCGGAAAGACUUUUAUUCAGCCGGGCAACUUAAAAAGACAUAAACUGGUCCACAGUGGAGUUAAAGCGCACAAGUGUGACCUGUGCGGGAGGGCUUUUGCUUUGAAGGCGAAUUUGGUGUCACACAAGCUGAUGCCGCAUGUGAGUAAUCCUGUGACCUUUCUGGAAAAACCUCCAGCCACUAACCCCAGAAACACACCAACAGACACUGAUGUGUGAUCAGUGCAGCAGUUCAGUUUACACAAACUCGAGCUUAAAUCAACUCUACACUUACUGACCAUGAACCACACACCACUGUGACCAGUGUGACAAAGCCUAGAACCAGUUUAGAGGUAAUUCAACUGUGACAAACCACUGCGAAGAGCUCCACGUGGAAAAGACUGAAGAGCCCCCAUUGUAAGGUGUUUUUUUUAAUUUUUAUUUUUGUCUUCUUGUCCCUUCUGCACAUUUUUGCCACCAGAUUAACUUUGGUUGUUUGACUACUCUACUCUUCCUGGUAAGCUGCCUGAAACACCUUUACCUUCAAGCACCCAGGAUACACUAGCUAUGAGCCAGGUCAGCUGGCUCUGAACCCCUCUAGAACAACCAGGCAUCUUACCAAAUCAGGACAGUCCAGAUUUCCUUUGGAGGAAACUCGUGUCUGGAUAGUCUUGUGGGCGAAGUGAGGAUAGGAACACAGAUGCUUUUAAAACCCUGCAGAACCACCUUAGGUGCUAGUUUUCCUUGAAGCUCAACAUGUGGUGUAGGUAGAGAUGCUCUUUUGGUCAGUCAAGCUGUGAUGCUGCCAGCAGGAAAUGCUGCAGGAAACUCCGACUUACUUUGUCCUUGUUUUAGAAGCAGACUGGCACAGAUGAAAGUGGCCACGCUGAAAGAACGGUCAACAUAAACACCAGACACACACACUGAUGUACUGUAAAGAAUGAGGAGCUGUAUCUCUAUACCAGGCUUGUUUAAAAGUUCAUGAAGUCAGCCAUGAACAUGGAGAUCAAGCUUUUUAGGAGUCUUCUUGGAUUUAUCUUUGUGUCUGUGGUCUGAAGAACCGCUCAUUUCUGGAGUGAAACGGUGCAUUAGGACAGUUUUUCCACAGUGCUUUAUUGGUCCUUUAUAUAUCAUAACAUGGAUGGGGAAACUCCCAGCGGGAGUAGUGGGUCAUUAAAUGUUACCUACUUUACAGGAAGUUUUUAUUUUUAAUUUUUUAAAAUCUAAAUUACAAAGAAUUGUGCUCACUCAGACCCUCAUCCUGAUCAGUUGUAAAUAUGCAUAAAGUUAAAUUUGCAGUCCAGGGUUGGUGUUCUCACUGUUGUAGAUGCUGGAGGAGUGACAUGUUUUGGGCUUUUGCUUGAAAAGAUUAUAAAGUUGCAGGUGUUUGAAUAUUUGGUGUUUGUAUUUUGAUGCUAUGGAAAGUUUUCCCACUUUGUUAUUGAAUCACAGCAAGGAAACAAAUGGUACAAAUAAUUCACGAAUGUUUUUAAUGUAAUGUCCUGGUGUUGAGGCAGGUCUGCAAGCUGCAUGUGACACAAAUCAAUGCAAUUUUUUUUUUCUUUUAACGAGCUGAUGUGUAUAAAAGAUUUGUUACUGGUAAUACGGCAAAACUUUAUUCUAGUUUUUAAAUGUUCGAGUUAAA